rnacentral:lncRNA from 1 species
GGGGGCGCGGCUUUGUGGCGGCCGCGGACCGCGGAGGCCCGGCGCAGCCCCGUCGGCUCGGCGCUCUCCGCAGAAAGGCUCUACGCCCCUGCCCAUCCCUCGGAUCUGGUCUGGGGAGGGCCGGGGUUGCUGCUGGAAGCCCCCCCCACCCCCCAGCCGUGCUCCGCCGCCGGGAAGGAUUCGAGGCUGGGCUCCGAGCGAGGCGGAGGCUGCAGGGCCCCGGGCGCACCCCGCCCCGCGCACGCCGCCGGAGCCCUGGCAGGCGCAGCCCCGGGGGCUCCCUGCACCCGCGGGAGGCGGCUGCGGUGAGUCUGCCCGGCGUGGCUGCCCGGCUCCCUUCCCUGGGGCGGGGCGGGCGGCGCGGCAGGUGGGUGCCCAGGCCCCGGAGGCCGAGGGGGUGCUGGGCGGCUGCCUGGAGGGUGGGUGGGAGCCGGAGCGGACCGGGGGCGACUCUCCGGGGACCCGGCGCGACUUGUCUGGGCUGCGAUCGCCGCGGCUUCCGCCACCCCGGCGGUCCCCACCCCAGCCCCUUCCCCAGAGGGGCGUGUGGGGCCGGGAGGUGGGACCCCCGGGGGCUAAGGCUGGGGCUUGGAAAUGAAAGAGGCGGUCGGAAAGCCAGCCACCCGCCCCCACCCCGGAGAGCCCGUUCGGGAAACUGACUCGCUGCGUGACCCCGAUAUCAACGCGGUGGGGGAGCAGGCUGGCCCGCUCGCGCCUCGGGGAUCCGGGGCCCGGGGCCUCGGAAGGAGCGGGGAGGAUGUCCCCCGAGAGUCACCGCCGUCCCCACAGAAAGUUAGGGGGCCCCUCCCUGGAGGAGCAGGCGGCUCUGGCACGUUGCCUUUAGCCUUGAUGGACAGGAGUGAAAUAAGUAAAACCUGGGCUCCAGGGUGCUGACCGGGGUACCCGGGCCAGAGACACCACGUUAGCGGAAGAAAAAGUUAGAUAAAGGAAAAAAUAAAAGGCAUUUUGAUUUGGGGGUGGGGGGAGUGGCGUUUCGGAUUUCUCCUGCUUCCAACCCCGUCGAGGGGAGCGCUGGAAUGUGGCGUUCAGAUCCUCUGAGGACACAUCCAUAUUUAUAAUUUAUUUUUAGGAGAAGUUGUGACUAGGGGAGGAGGGUUACACUGGGGAAAAAAGGUGUGCUCGAAAGGCGGCCUUUCCCGAGCCCCGGGGCUAAUUGGACCCUUAGGGUGGGAACAGGCCUCCCUAUCGGGACAGCAGCAAAUUUGACUUUAAUGGGUGACAAUUAAGGGCAUAAAUAACUAAACUUUCUUUAGCUGGAGGGGGAGCCUUACAGGCGCCUCUGACGCUCCAUUGAUGCUUUGCUGGGGGACUUUGGGGGAACUCCUGGUAUUUUCUGGGGUUUUGCGCCUGAGUGUUAGCAGGGAGCAAGCGGUGACUGCUCCCCGAGGGAGGUGACGGUCCCACGGGUGGACAAAUGCGCCCUUCCUCCCACAGCGACACCUUGGCUUUCUGGGAGAUGAACCGCCUUCCUGAGGGAAAAAGCCAGGAACGAUUCCUUUAACGAUCUAGGAUUCUCCCAGUCCUGCCUCCCAGGCAGCUCGCUCCCGAGCACGGAGCUGUGAGGGGACUCACUUCGGGAGGAAGAAGGCUCCGGAGGCUGUGGGCCCAGAAUCGGGGUUUUGAGGGCGAGAUGAGUUUAUGUUUUAUCCAACUGGCCCACAAAGUCCCGCUUUUGGGGUCAUUCUUAACAGCGAGGGAUUCAGGCCCUGGCAGCCCCUGAAGAGUGAGGGUGGGGCGCGGAUCGCCCAGGCUGCUCCUCUAAAACCGGCUGGGGAAAGGGAGCCCUUGCUACUUCCGAAAAAGUGAGGCCCAACGUGGGGUGAGGGUGGGAUGCUCUUACAAUGCGUGUGUUCUCCGUGUGCUUGAACCUGCUGUGAUUUCAAGGCCUCUCCUUGGGAGGCCAGAAAGAUCCACCGCCCUCACCCCAGGGGCUUAAGGAGGUGUAGUAGUGACAGAAUUGGCAGGCUGUAUCAAAGUGUUUGAAAUUCCCUAAAUAAAGUACCACUAGCAUCAUAAAUCCUAAUGCCAUCAGAUUUCUCUUUACGUUUGUCAAAGGAGCAGCCUGCCGUUUCAGAACUGCAGUACUGUCUCUUUGCAAUUCGUUACUACCUCGAUAUUGAAGGCAUUUAAUAAGAAAGACUAGAUAAUAUGUCCAGGGGAGUCUCUAAGGUGGUACCAAUGCCCCUCUCAGGGGCAUUAAGCUUACUAAGAUAUAUUAAUUCAUACCCACACACCUGUCCUCCUGUCCAAACCUAUAUAGAUGUCCACACCCCCUAAGUUAUUUCCAAACCUGGAUUUAAAUUAAGUGUUCACAGCAGGGAACAUAAAACUGAGCUGUACCCGAGAAACUUUUGAACACAGAGUUCUUGAUAAAAGAUCUAGUGAUUUGAUAGACUUGGCACAUGGACACACAGAUGACAUUUGUGCUGCCUUGGCAAAAUGUUCUUUACUUUCAGAGUCCUUUCUCUUUACUACAGGACACAAUAAACAGCACAAUUUCCAGGAGUCCGCAGUUCCAACGUGGCUUGUCCGUGGGAACUUGUCACAUUGAGAACUGUGUUUGUGCUUUGCUGAAUUGCCACCCCGAGCUGUCAGAUCCUAUUUGCUUUGCUAAAUAAGGAUAUCUUACUAAAUUAGCCUUUAAUGAUACCUCUACACAUAGGGUGUUUUACGUGAAUUAACAAGGCCGGAACACUGCAUGUUAUGCCAAGAUACUGAGCUAUAAUCGAGGCGGUGAAGCUGAAUGUUAAAAUUACUGACUUGUUAAGUGUGGAAAAUCAGACAGAAUUUAGUUCUAAAUGUGAUACGAUUUCUGCUUUAAUGGUGAGCAUUCCCAAAACAUAGGCAUUGCUUAUAUUUGGCCCUCUGAAACCAUGCAUAUAAUUAUGAAUACAUUUAGCAAACUUUCCCCCUCUCCGAGUCUACAAAUAAGCAAAGUAAUGUGGUGAAGUGAUUAUAAAUCAGUACUUUGCAGUGAAAGGUCGCCAUUAAUUCAGCAAAGAACUGCAGCUCCUUUCCAUAUUCUUACCAUCCUCCUGCCCCCCUCCAACCGGUAAGAAAAAAAAAAUUGACGUGGAACUGCUGAAUACACGUUGGCUUUUCUCCUUUUGCUUCGGUGUGUGAAAUUUCAUUAAUCAUUUGCUAUUCCUCCCUCUAAGAGGUGUGGAUUUAGGGGAAGAAAUAGCAACUUUGAAAUUUAGUUCUUAGCAGUGUAUAACCCAUAAAGGAAAAAAAAUUUAAUAGAAAAGAAUAAAGUAUGGUUGGGGGUAAAAUAGUUAGAGAUGCAAUGAAAAUGACACUUUGUUCGAAAUCAAACAUGCAUUUGUGACUAAAACCAAUGAAAGUUGGAAAAAUCCCCACCUGGGAAUUCCCUCUAUGUCUUGCUCAUUAGCAUUCCCACCCUAACAUUGAGAACCAGGAAAAGAUUCUUGCCAGAUAAACUUAGAGCUCCCUAAGGUGGGCAGCUCACCCUUCUCUAAUUUGGACUGCAGAGUAAAUACCACUAUUUUAGGCAUGAGGAUAAAAAUUAGUCUGGCGAACAGUGAAGGCAAACUCUGUACUUAAGAGUCACUUACCAGAAAAUAAGUGCAUAUACCAACAAAAUAAAACAUUAUUGACCAGUGUUACUUUACCACAGAAUUUUCUUUCAUGUUUGCCAUCCUGAAUGCAGGAAAAUAUGGUCCUUUUUGCUUCUUAGAUUUAGAAUAAGAUGAGAAUAAACCCGGAACAACAACCCUGACACCCACAAAGUUGAUGUAAAGAAUCAUAGACUUUUCAGGCCCAGCAGUCAUGAACCUAUCCAGGGAGAGGUGGACAUUAAAGAAACAGUGUCUGGGCCGGGGAUUUAGCUCAGUGGUUCUGCUGCCUGCCUCGCAAGCGCAAGGACCUGAGUUCGAUCCCCCGUACCAAAAAAAAAAAAAAAAAAAGAAAAGAAAAAGAAACAGUGUCUAAGGAGUAGACCUUGGGGUUCUUCCAUCACCCCAUGCUAGGCUGAGCCCCCAGCUCCCUUCGUGGUCUCUUUCCAAAGUAGCUAGCCUUCAGAUGCUGCCUUCUCAGCGGGCCCAGUUGCAGGGGACAUAUGCAAAUAUUUACAAAGCUUUCAAAUAAAGGUUCUGGUUUUCCUGUCUUCUUUAUAGAAAACAUCUAAAUUUACAGAACAUAAAGCAAACUUUUCCCCAUUGUCUCUGAAUGCUGGCACUCUAGAAAAUGCAAACGUCUUGGUGUCACAAGAGAGCCGUUUGAAAAUGCUCUGGCAAGAGGGGUGUGUGUGUGGCACAUGUAAGCGUUUCUUGGAGAUGGGGACUGGGCAGGGGGAGGAGUCAGCGGCUGGUCGGAGCCUGAAGUUAGUUGAACCUCAUGGGGUGAAAAUUUUCUGAGAAGAGCAGCAAACUCGACUGUCCUGUUGGAAUUGGACAUGAAAUCAGUGCCCAGGCCUCUGUCAUCUGUGCCCAAACCAGCCUGGACCGCUGCCAGCUGAGGCCCAGACAUGGCCGAAUGUAGCCACUGCUGGAGCCCAAACAUGCUCCAGACAGUUGCCUGGGGGGAUCUCCUCCUGGGACCCAGGCGGCAGCAGUUCAGCCAGAGGUGGGGUGUUUGGCUCCCAGGGCAGCCUCCCCAGACACUCUUCGGGGCUCAGUAGCUUGUGGGUGCUGGGGCCCAGAGGGCAGUACCUCACUUUGUUCAGAGGUAAACAGGUGACGUUGUCCCUGUCCCACAAGCUCGGAGCAAAUCCAGCCUGUGUGAGACCACAGUGACUGGAAAAGAGUCCAGUGCAGGUUUGUUCCUGUAGCCAUUGCUGGUCUUUUCUCCAGGCACGAGGAGUAUCCUGUCCCCUAUCCAGGGACUCUACUCCCUUUUCUUUUCUUUUUCUUUUUUUUUUUUUUGCAGUAGCAGGGAUUGAACUCAGGACUUGCACUUGCGAGACAGGCGCAGCUAAAUCCCAGGCCCCUAAGGGAGCCUACUGCUUCCACAGGGUGGGAGGCAAACUGGGCUGAGGGGCAGAGGUGUAGCCUAGAUGUGGAGAGGAGGCUUUGGAAGGCUAUCAGAGGACAGGAGGUGGGGGGCAAGUACGCAGAGAAAGAGGCGGACAUCUGAGCCAGCUUCAGGGUCAGCCAGGCCAGGGGCUGAGUGGGCAUGCUGGGCUGAAGCCUUCAGGAAAGAGGUGUGCAGCCUGCUGAGCCCUGGCAUCUAGGGUGCCCACUCCGCGAAGCCGGGCCCAGGCCUGAGUCAGCCAAACCCUGGGACUCCCAUUUGGCCCCAGUAACUGGAUUCCAGGCCACCAAAGGCCUUGUGGGUUCCUGAUUGUGUCUCGGGAUGGCAUUAUAAGGCCUUGAUGGAGAGCUCAUGGGCUGUGCCAUAUUUAGCUACAGGUUCACCCAGAGAAUAUUUUGGGUGCUGCUUGAAAGGGGAGCUCUGAGCCCUGUUGCUGACUGUCACAAGGCAGGGGUGGGAUCGCUUCCUCGCAGGCCUGGCCCAGAAGCUUAGAGACUCUGCCAAGGCUUUGGGACCAUGCAGUGGGUUCUAGGGAGCCAGGAAGUGCCCUGGGAGCCAGUUCUGGGCUGGGAACAUGUUGGGAAGGCUUUUCGCCCUGUUUUCGUUGAGCAGCGAUAAGGCCACUUCCAUUCAUAGAACUCACAGAGGCCAUUUUCAGCCUCUGUCUUCUCCAAGAUGGCCCAGUGUGAUAUGCCAGGCUGCUGAGUGAGUGGCCUCCUCCUCAGGUGUCAGCCACGGGGGCAGGGUUAACCCUUUCAAGGCCCUCGGUGUGGGCUGGCACAGGGGCAGCCUUCUGCACAGACGGCCACGGUCCUGUGUGCUUGUUUCCCUUAAUCCUCAGACCCUAGUGGCAGACCCAAGAGGGAACCUUAGCAGUGAUGCCACCCCAUUGGUGAUAACCACUUGGCUCUCCUACCCAAGCCUUCUACCUGCUGGUCAUCCAGCUGUGGAAACAGCUGCUUACCUUCCAGAUGUUUUCGUCUGGGUCUCAAAGUUAACUGACUUUCCCCUAAUGCAGAGGAGGGGGCAUUAAUAGCUAGGCUUUCGCUUUGAUCAUCGGGAAGGGCUGGAAUAACCGUUUGGGGUUUGGGGCAAAUGUUGCAGGCUCCUCGGGGUCACUGGCCUUAGGGAAUAAUCUGUGUGACCAUUUCUGGACCCUGGUCUGGGUUCCUGGAGGGAGGGGCGCGUCUGUAUGGAAGCUAUGGCUUGGAGACAUCUUUAGCCCAUUAUUCUGAGGACAGCGAGGUUCCUUCCAGGAGCCUAUGCGAGCUGACACACACCCUGAAAGCAUCCACUUGUUUAAAGUUUGCUCUAACUUUGUACAUUUUUUCCCUUUUAGUUUGGCUCUUGGUGCUCCAAGAGCCCCCACUUCCUGCCAGCUGGUUACCGCAGGGAAAAUGAGGGACUUUUGGGGGCAGAUGUGUUUCCGUUCCACUAUCAUAAUGCCCCUAAAAAUCCUUAUUGCUCUUGCAGUAUUCCUCGGGGUCCCCGGGCCAGGAAGACGGCGGCUCUGGGCUCCUCCAGCAACACAGAGAGGAGAGCGAGGUGUCCCCAGAUGGGCAUCCCUCCCACAGUCCCUCUGCUUCCCUGGAAGAUCUGUCCGCACCAUGCUCAGAACCAGUCACCCUCCCCUAAAAGAGAGGAUUUCAUUUACAAACAUGAACGCUGGUUACUAAACUCGCUUUUUGCCCUCCAGGCUCAGAUCGGUGGAGCUCAGGCCUGGGAAGAAGGUCAGGCUGUGGCUCCAUCAGCAUUUGCUCCUGGGGGUGUUGAGGAGGUGGGGAGAGGAGAAGAAACCAGAGAUACCUGUUCGGUGAGGCCUGGUCCUUCCAGCUGGGCCUCUGGGAGCUUCACCUUGGCAGCGGGCCUUUGGCAGUCGUGGCUCACAUGCCAGCUCCUGAGACAGGACGCUUCCACUCUGCCUCAGUUUCCCCGUCAGCCAUGGGAGGGGCAACACCCCCUGCUCUAGCCUCAAAGAGUUCCUGGAUGCAUCCAGUGUUAUAAUGGGCUCGAAUGGUGUACAACUCAAAAGGUGCCUAGAAAAUGAGUAAUGCGUUAAUUAAUACGAUAUUCACUCAUACAGAGGCCACUGAGACACAUGGGGAAACCACAGUCCAGCAGUAUGCCUGGGUUUCUGGAAGCAGCCAUGCUUAUGAUCCAGCCUACGAUCUGUGACUCUUGCUGUGUUGCCCCAGGGAUGUGACUCAACCUCUCUGGGCCUCCAGUGCCUCGUGCAUGACACCCACAGCUUGGAUGAGAAGUUUCCCAAAUCUCUUAUGCACAUCUGCUCUAUGACUUUCAGAGGUACCUGGCUGAAGAUAAAAAUUUCUUAAAUAGGUGUUUCUUUGCAUGGCUGAUUUCUAUUUAUGGCAAUAGGUUGGUGUUCCCUAUAGGGGGGAUAUGUCUCCUUUUCUGUCGAAAUCAAUUUAUGUGGGUAAGAAAUGAGUCUCCUUCUUGAAAGAGAAAUGCAAAGCAAAUUAUGGCAGGUGGCCUGAGGAUGGGACCAAAAUCGAGACAACAGUUUGUAAAGUUUCAUGGGCCCACUUUUUAGAAAGAGUUCGUGUUUCUCUUAGGGGUUUUCUGUACCCUUAGUUGAUGGUGGGGGGAGUAAGUUGCCAGUUAAACCCAUGCUGUGUCCUGUGUUGUCCUUGGGGUCCCAACACCAGAGGCCCUCCCCAACUCCCCCCAUCCGUAGACCCCAUUUACCUCCACCCUGGGGUCACAGUGACCCAGUGCUCUCCUUCCCCGAUGGCUCACCUCUCUGAGCCUGUUUGCUCAGGGAAAUGGGGAGAAGAAACGCCCUGUGAAUGAGAUCAGGGGGUUGGGGAGCCUCACCACGAAGCAGGGAGAGUUCUGGAACAGGGCACCGGCUCAGGGGGCAGCAGGUGCCAGGGGCCCUGGAGCAGGUGGGGCAUGGCGGGGGCGCCCUUGUCCAGCGGGCCGUGCAGUGCUGGGCUAGGGGGUCAGCUCCGGUGGGCUCCCAGACCCCACCAGGAGGGGCGACUCGUGUUUCACUUUCUGCUGUGUCAUGGGGCGUGGGGUGGUGGAGGGGCCCUGCUGGCCAGCCUGGCCGGGGCAGAGCCAGCGGACAGCUGCGGGCCCAGCUGCCAGAGCCCCGCCCCAGCCCUGCAGCCUGCCAGGAUGGGAGCUGGGCCCCAGGGCGCUUCUUUUUACCUCCCACUACAAGCACAGUGGGAGCACCCCGGCGGAGAAAACCCAGGAGCUGGCUGCCUGGAUCCUUGGGCUGGAGGGGACACCCUCAAAACAAAAUUUUAAGCCACACAGGGUCAAAAUCUUAAGACUUGUGACUUGAUACUGGAUCGGAUGGCCCAGCUGGACACCAGCCUCCUACUCGCGUUGGUUGCACAGAUGUCUGUUGGGGACCUGCCGUGUCCUGAGUACCGUGCCAGGGGCUGGCGUGACAGUGGUGAGGGUCAUGUAGCCCCUCCCCCCGUGGGGGUCUCAGUGGAGCCAGGGAGGAUGACAAGCGAGCAAACAAAGGGGUGGAGGAUCCCUUGUUAGGGUGAAAAUUCCGUGCUGAACACCACCGAGCUCAGGCCUGGGGUCUUGCGUGGCCCUGGGAGUCAGCAAGCUAAGCGCACAGACUGGGACCAGCUGUCCUGUGUUUAAAUCUGGACUCUUCUAUUGGCUGCUUGUGCAGCCUCUGGCAGGAGACUUCUCUCCGUGCCUCAGUUUCCUCAUCUAUAGGUACUAGAACUACAAGGGGCACUCAGAGCUGUGGUGAGAAUGAAAUACAUGGGCUGCCGUGAAGAACAGAACAGCGCUGGCGGUGCCGUAUGCCUUAGCCGUUACAGAAGAACAAUGAACGCAGACUGCUAGACGAUGAAAUCCACCCCUCAGAGCUCGCUGAGAGCGCUGGGAGUAUGUAUGGCUGAGCUGGUCCCCCUUGCCACACAUGACACAGUCACAGCCGGCCCUCAGGGUCCUCACUGAGGUAAGAGGAUGAGGGAACAGGCUCAGGCCUCCAGAGAGCUGUGUUGGAGAUGCGGUCCGCACCCACACUCAGGGCCACUUGUCAAGGAAGGGCUCCACUCUUGUUUCCAACUCUGCAACCGUCACCUUGAAAUUCUUAACCCUUCCGAACAAAAGGGCUCGUACAUCUUUAAUCCUGCCUUGAUGUUACUUAUGCUGAACCUCUUAACUACUGACAUCAACCAGCCGCACAGCUGGGUGCAGAGUAAUUUUCCAAUUUAGCAACAUAUGAGACUUGUGACCAAAAAAUACGAUGUUUCCUUUUUUAAAAAUUACAGUAUUACCGUAAAAGACACACUGCCAUUAACCCCCCUCAGAAUACUGCCCCUGUUUCAAACACACUGAAUCCCACUUUUCUGGCCCCUUCCUGAAGCAGUUCUGAGGUCUUCGGUUAUGUCUUUAGUUGUGCUGCCCUGCCAAUCUCAGUGUUCUGCGUCUAUUCAAAAUGUUUAACUUUCGCGGUCAUUUUGACUUUGGGGAAGAGCCAAGAGUGCCAAAUGCAGUGCACAAGGUGGAUGAGGCCUCCCCAUGAUGUUUUUAUGAGCCUGCCUUUCUGGGAGCAGCAUUCACUGUAUUUUUAUCACAAAGACACUCCUGAAGGAGGACUCCCACAACUGCUUCAGAAAGUGGCAGGAAGGAUGGAAUAAAUGUGUUCAAAUGGAUGGGUAGAUUUUGAUGGGGAUUCAUCAAAAAACGAAACAAAAAAAAUAUCACUACCCCCAACUUAAAUGUUCACUGUAUAUUUUUUUAUUAUACCUCGUAGUGCUUUGUAAUGGAACUGAAAUUCCCAGGAGACUAUGAACACUUAUCACAGGCCGGAUAACCCAAAUGCUUGUUUGUCUGUCUGUGGUCCCCAGGAGAAGGCUGCCAGGGGUGGCAGCUGAAGGUAGAAGCCUUGUCUCCUUCCUGCCAGACCUUCAGAUCCUGGCCUGUAUUAGGUGCUCAGUUAAUAGUAGUGAACUGAAGCCAAAGAUUUGGGGCCGCUGUGUCUCCUACUUCCAUGACCCUUCCAGGGAAGUAGGUGACGGGUGCGGUGUCAGUCCUGGCCACCCCAGCUGGCCUCCGGAGAGCCCCUGAGGGUGUGGAGAUUCUCCUACCCCUUGCCCAAGCCUGCUUACUCUUUAACAGCUUCUGCUUCAGGGUUCAGAGGCAACCCAGACCAUGGAGACCUGCAUUUCAGAGGCCUGCACUGGGAAAGAGGCGGGGUCUAGCCAAAAGAAUACUAGGGUUCUCAGGCUGAGCAGGUUCAAGACCCAGCUGGAGGUCAGGGGUCACGGCUUCUGGAAGUGUGAAAUGAGAUCAUUUUCCCUCUGAUAUUAAAAUUCAUCUACACUCUCAAAAACCUGAAAGUAUAAAUAUUACUAAAAGCAGAGAGCUAUUUCAAAAGCCUUUCGGGCAUUUAUAAUAAUAAACACAUACGGUUCUUCGCCAGCCUUUUUCACAAGCCUAAUCCAUCCUUUUAGAUGACAAGCCAUGAAGCCAUUGUCGUCAUCAUUGUCUAAAUAACAUCAUACCCACCAACAUAUAUUGAGCUCUUUCUUUGUCUGAGGCACUUUUGACUUGUAUGAAGUCAUUUCAGUUGCACAAGCAACAGACAUGAGAGGUACUGCUACUGGCCCCAGCUCUCUGAUGAGGAAACAGGCUUCGAGAGAUGACCUUACUUGUCCAAGGUCACAUACCUAGCAUGUGACAAGCUGGGGUUCAAACCUGGGUCAAGCCAGAGAGUAACUCUUUGAGGCUCUGCAGGCUACAAAGACUUGCAGCUGCUCAGCUCUGCAGAUGUAAGUCAAAAGUAGCCCUAAACAAUACACAAAUGGAUGGCUAUGGCUUGGUGUUACAAUAAAACUUUAUUUAUAAAACCAGAAAGCAGGCCAAAUUUGGCUUAUAGCCCAUUUGCCAACCCUUGUUCCAAACCGAAAGGCUGCCUUUCAGUUAGAUCAACACAAACUUGACCCUGGCAGUGUUCUUUCCCGACCUGUGAGGUGACUUAUUUCCAUGCCAGAGCGGACAGCUGCUGUGUGUGGAGAAGGUAAGUUGAGUCUGCCUUCCUUGUGGAAAUUCUGAAACUCUUGGAACUUAAUCUAUUAGUGACUGCUCCUGUAAAACAUCCUGAGGUUUUUAAAUUGAAAUUUUAGUAGUUGUCAAUUGAGGCACUUUAUUUUGUGUGUGGUGAUGGGGAUCAAAUCCAGGGUCUUACACAUAUGCUGACAUGUUACACCACCGAGCUACACCCUCAGCUCCCUGAUUACCACCCCCCCACCCCCGUACUGGGAAUUGAACCUAGGGAAUACUGAGUGAAGUCCCCAGCCCUUUUGAAAAAUUUUUGAACUUGUGAUCCUUUGGCCUCUGUCUCCUGUGUAGAUAGGGUUACAGGGUUGCACCUCCAUGGCCCCCGAUUAACUUUUAAAGAUGAAAGUGUUGUGGUUUAGGGAAAGACCUCAGUGGGACGCUUUUGCUGGGGAAGGCACUUCUCUGAGAUGAGAAGGAGGAGUAGGCCUGGGUAUAAACCUGUGGUAGAGCACCUGGCUAGCAUGUGUAAGGCCCUUGGUUCCAUUCCCAACACCACCAGGAAGAAAGAGCAAGAAAAAAAGGAAGGAAGGAAAGAAAGAAAGAAAUUUAAAGCAUAAGAAGACAGUGAGUGUGUGUGUGUGCGUAGGAGAGAGAGGGAGAAUUUCCCCAUAGGGUACCAAGGAGGCUGGAGCAUACCAAGAGAGUGGGGAAGAGGGCAUGAUGUUUAAAAAUAGCUUUAUUAAGAUGUAAUUUACUUAACAGGCAAUUCACUUUUUUCCCCAGUACUGAGGAUUGAACCCAGGGGCUGCAUAUUGAGCUACUUCCCCUCCCUUUUCAUUUUUAUUCUUUCAUUUAUUUAUUUUUUUUAUUUUUUUGAGACAAGGUCUUGCUAAAUGACUAAGUUGCUCAGCCUGGGUUUGAACUUGUGAUCCUCCUGCCUCAGCCUUCCAGAGUGGUGGGAUUAUAGGUGUGUACCAUUCACAUUUAAAAAGCACAAUUCAGUGGCUUGGAGUAUAUUAACAGAAUUGUGCAGCCAUCAUCAAUAAAUUUUAGAAUGUUUUCAUCACCUCAAAAAGAAGGCCCAUGCCCUUUAGCAGUCAUCCUGCCCACCCCAAUCUUCCAUUGCCGCCAACCCUAAGCAACCAUGAAUCUACUUCCUGUCUCUGUGAAUUUGCUUUUUCUGAACAUUUCCUAUAAAUGGGAUCAAACAGCCUUGGGUCCUUUGGGUCCGGCUUCUUAUUUAGGGUCUGAUAUUGCCAGGGUCCGGCCAUGUUGUAGCAUGUAUGAGGACUUCUUUCUUUUUCAUGACUGAGCAUCAACCUAACGUAUGGAUGGACGGACCAUAUUUUGUUUCUCCAUUUGGCAACUGAUGGGCUGUUUCUACUCUGGGGCUAUUAGGAAUAAUGCAGCUAUGAGUAUUCACGUAUGUUCUUGUGCAGACGUACAUUUCUGUUGGGCAUAUAGCUCAGAGUGGACAUGCUGGGUCAUGCAACAGCUCAAUGUUUAACGUUUGGUGGAACCACCUCUUUCAACUUUGUAUUUGGGACAUUUCCCACUGUACUUGAGAGUAGAGAAACUUUCGUAAUGUGCACCAGGUACCCAUUGUCCAGAUUCGACAAUGAUCAGCCUUUUGCCUAUCUUUUUCCCUCUGCCUUCUCUCUUCCUUUGUCUCCCACUGAGUAUCUUAUUCAGGCACUGCAUUUCAUGUUGUCCCAGCUGAGAGGCCAACAUUUUCUUUUAUCCCAAACCUUCAUUUGGAGUAGCCCAUAGCCACAUUCUUGUGUGAAUGGAAUUUGGGGGAAUGGAGGAGUUGGUCAGACUCCAGAGUGGUCAUGGUGUGGGAGGGGAGCAGCCCCUGAGUGAGGCAGGAUUAGCUAUACAAUUUGCAGGAUCUGGGUGAAAGGAACAUGUGGAACUCUUUGUUAAGAAGUUAAAGAUGGCAGAGCAUUAAAUCAAGCAUGGGCCUCAUGUAGCUGUAUAGGUUCUCUGCCCAUGAUGUCAGCCCAGCCCUUCAACCAGCGAAAAGGUGCCCAAGCAGAACUGGUUCAGCAGAUGCAGCAAUUUAGAACCUUGGAUACUGGGAGCAACAUAAACACCCCUCACCCUCAAUCUCUGGGAAGGUUCCAAGGGAAGUUGGGAAUGGUGUAGCAUAUGGGGCAAGAUGUAAACCCAUUUCAUUUUAAUCUCCAAAAAUAAGAUGACCCCAGCUGACAUGGGGGUUAUAAGCACUUAAAACAAUAAUCGUUUGUUGUAUGCCUUCUUCCUUGAGAGCUCACGGUUGUUUUAUUUGGCCACUCCAUUUUGUCCUGGGUUCUGAGUGUACUCUGAUAUCCCUGCAAAAGAUAGGGCUGCAGUCUUAAGAGCAGACACCCGCUGGGUUCCAAACAGCCCAGAGCUGUAGGGACCCAGGGUGCCCAACAGUAGCAGGUGGCCAUGGUAGACAUGGCUGCCAUUGAUGGCAACCAGUUCCUCCCAGCUCAGACACAGUUCCCACCAACCCAGGUGCCUCCUACUCCGUGUUUACCUAGGCUCAGCCCAAGGAUUCAUAAUCUUCUCCAACACCAAAGAUCCAGAGCCCCCUGUAUGGUUCAGGAUGAUGCCAGGGUGCAUUAUAUCAAGUGUCUUGUCAUGAAAGGGUAUACAGUACACGGCAAAAGGUGCCAGGGGUGGGCCUUGGUGAGAACAGGAAGGACAGCAUAGCUCUCCUGUUGGCCAAGGGGAGUUCACUCAUUCGUUCAGCCACUUGCUACCUACUGCACUUAAGGGCCUAUGGACUGGGCAAAAGCAAAACAGCAAUCAGCUGGGUAGACCUCUUCCACCACUCCACUGUCCUGACAAGCAGGUAAUAAAAAGAACAUUGUUAUAUUAUUUUGCUCAAUCUCCGAGUGUAGAAAUGGAAAUAAUUUUUAUCACACCAUUUUAUGUUUUUUCUUUUUUGGAGUGCUGGGUACUGAAUCCAACACCUCACAUGUGCUAGGAUGGCUCUAUCACUGAGCCACAUCCUCAGCCCCUUACCCAGAUUUAAAAAAUGAUAUCUUUCUUAUGGUAAGAAAAAUAAUGCAAGAGAGAGUAAGAUAAGAAAUAAAGGCAGGGCUGGGGAUUUAGCUCAGGGGUUCUGCCACCUGCCUCAAAAGUGCAAGGACCUGAGUUCGAUCCCCGGUACCAAAAAAGCAAAAACAAAAGAAAUAAAGGGGUCCCUUUGCAAUUUUUCUGUAGCUUUGACCUCACUUUCUAAGAAGUAACCACUGUGUGCAGUUUUCACAGUCUUUGUACGUGUUGUAAGCGUGGUCAAAGUCACGGGGCUGUUGCUGAGGAGGUUAAGGGUGCCACAAUACACCCUGAGGACAGAACACCUCUCAGACCCACAUCACUCUUUUCAAUCACGUCCAGCAUCCCACUGCGCUUACUUACCCUGGCCCCUGCUGGCCAACGUUUGCAUUAACUCCAGGAUUUUGCCUUUAGCGUGCAUACGCACUUUGGCACAUGGCCAACUGCACUUUGUAGGACAAAUUCCUAGAAGUGGAAUUUCUCCAUCGGAGGAUAAACGUAUUUUGGAUUUCUACAGCGAUUGCCCAGUGCCCCUCAAACAGGCUACGAUUCACAAGCCCCUCAGCCUCGUGUGUGUGAGGGUGCCUGGUUCUGACAUACUUUUUGCACCCCAGAAGGGCACAGUGUGGCAGGGGAAGCGGAUUCCCAGUGAGAGAUCUGCCAGAAAUGUUGGUGAAUGAAAUGUGGAUGGAUGGCAUCAAGGCCAGAGGAUGCAAAAGGCCCUAGUUUUGAUAAAAAAAAGAAAAAAAAGAAAAAGAAAAAGCCAGCUUGGCUUGGCACCCUCCUUCCUGCCAGUCAGGGGACUGCAAAGCUGUUUCCAGAGCGCGGCUGAUGAAUUGAGGGAGGAGCAACAGGACAGUGCCAGUCGCCUCUCAGGGCUGCGCUAACAUAAAACCAAACAACUUGAAACUGUUCCAAGGGAGCGGAUUAAGGCAACAUGUUAUUCUGAGUGAUUGCUUAAUUUAUUGAGCUGCGGCUAGAUCUGUAAUGAAAUACAGCCCUUGUAACUGAUCACCUCCUACUGCAAUUGGACUUCUACAAUUAAGGGAUAUUUUCCCAGAGUUUCUCUCGAAGUGCCUGGAAUUUGUGGCCUCUGUGGUGGGGUGCUUCUGGCCGCGCAUGCUCCAGGCAAGCUUUUUUUUGGUUUGUUUUAAAGAGCAGCAGGUUGAUGUUAAUAAAGAAAAUAAGCAGCAUUUUACUGAGUGCCAUGUGUACAGCAGGUGGCUUAUAUACAUUUGCUCUGACCCCCUCCAUUUCCCAGUGAAAUAACCCUCACUAUUCCGUUUUACAUGGGAAGACAUGAGACAUGAGGGAAUUUUUUAGAGCAAGGCCCUCUAAGCCACACGUGACUAUUCGUGUCAAUUAGGUCAAGUUGAUUGCGUCUGAAAACGCACCCUUUGGGGGUGCAUGAGCAAUGAGUUCAAGUGCCAACCCUGCCAGACUGGGGGGCUGGUGGCCACCAUAUUGGAUGGUGUGCAUAUAACUCGUUUUUGAUGAUUAUAGAUCUAUUGCUCCGAGGUUGGUUCUAUAGAUCCAGAGAUUUCAUGGCAAGAAAUGGGCAGCUUCAGAAUUCAAAGCCCUAGUUAAUGGGCUUUGACCGUAAGCUUGUCUGCCACCCCUUACUUCCUUCUCCCGCACCAGGGACCCUCAGCCAGGCUGCGUGUUAAAAUUACCUGGAUCUUUCGGGUUGUUUUUAUUUUUGUUUGAGACAAGGUCUCACUAUGUAAUUCAGGCUGGCCUUGAACUCAUGCUGAUCCUCCUCCCUCAGUCUCCCAAGUGCUGGGAUUACAGUCAUGGAAUGGGGUGGGGGGACCUUUGCUUGUAGAAUAGCCUUUGUUACACUGUCAUGGAAGAAGCUAGAUAUAUCAUGGAGAUGACGUGAGAACCCUGUAGCUCCAAAUUGAAUUAGCAGCAUCAGGAGGAACGCAGGCACUCUCUCUCUCACUUUAUAAAGUGGAGCAUGGGGUUGCAGGUUCUGUCCACUGAGGUUAGAGACCACGACCAGUCACAGCGAGGACCCAGCACCAGGGUACGGUCCCUAAACACCUCUUUUAAUCAGCAUUCAAGGCCCCCUGGGCAAAUGGCCAAUUCCACAUCUGAGCCAAGAAAUGUUCCAGUGAGCCUGAGAUGUCUUUGUUUGUUUGUUUGUUUGGCUUUUGAGCCAGGGCCUUCCUUCCUUUAUAGUUUAGGCUGGCUUCGAACUGACUCCGGAGCCCAGGGUGGCCUCAAAUUCACGGCAGUCCUCCUGCCUCCAGCUCCUGAGUGCUGGGAUUUACAGGCCUGCGACACCACACCCAGCUGAGCCUUGACUAUCUUGUCACUGGGAAGCAGGAAAGCUGUUUCAACUGCUGGAGUCACAUCUGAAAGGAUGCAGGAGACAGCAUGAAAAGAUUCUCAUUGGCCAAAAAUGACAAUUUGAGCAUUAUUAGGAAUACUAACUAUAGCCAGAUGUGGUGGCACUCUGGGAGGCUGACGCAGGAGGAUUACAAGUUUGACCCCAGCCUAGGUAAUUUAACAACUUAAGACUCUGUCUCAAAAUAAAAAAUAUUAUAAAAGGGCUACACAUGUAGCUCAGUGCAAAGGCCCUGGGUUCAACCCAUAGUUGAACCAAAUAAUGAUAAUAAUAAUAAUAAUAAUAAUGCAAACCAAAUAAUAAUAAUAAUAAUUACAGUGUAUUAAACAUUUCAACUUCAUGUCCAAACAAUGAGUUCACCAUGAUGCUGGAGCACAAGAAAAACAUAAACUUACUCAUCACCAAGCCUCGCAUUUUGGAAACUGUCAAAGGAAAAGAAUCUAGCAUUUGGGCCGAGGAUUUAGCUCUGUGGUUCCACUGCCUGCCUUGCAAGUGCAAGGUCCCAAGUUCGAUCCUCAGUACCAAAAAAAAAAAAAAAAAGAAUCUAGCAUUUGUCCUUUUUGGAUGACCCAUACUCUAUGGAAGCCAAGCGAUGGAUAAAAUGGUGUGCUUUAUAGAAGUAUUUCCACUAACCAAGACAGACAGAGAUUAGGAUGCCACUGGUUUUUAGUCUCUAGGGGAGUGACAGGUCUGGACAGUGAUCAGCAGCAGCUAACAUCACAGAGGAAAAUCAGGUCUUGACCUCCAAAUCAGCUACUAGGAAGCAGACAAAAAAAUGCAUCUUUGUGAGCUUCCAGAUUGAACUAGCAAUACAGGAGGGAGAGGAGCAGAUAUAACACCUUUAUGAGGAUGCAAUAAGCAAAAUCCAGACUAUAGGACACAUCAUAGAGCAUCCAACCCAGUUUCUUCAGUAAACUGUAGGGAAAGAGAAAGGAAGAUGAAAGAGAGGUGUACGAGACACAGCAACCAAUCACAAUAUAUGAGCUUUAUUUGCAUCCUGAUCUUACCCAGUUGUGAGAAAACAUUUAAAAGAAAGCUAGAUAAAUGUGAAUCCUGACCAGAUAUAGUAUUUGCUGAUAUUAAAAGAUUUACUGUUUUUUGUGGGGUUUUUUUUGGUACCAGGGAUCAAACUCAGGACCUUGCACUUUCGAAGCAGGCACUGGAACCACUGAGCUAAAUUCCCAGCCCCCUUUACUGUUAAUUUCAAUAGUGGUAAUGGUAGUAAAAAACCCCCAAAACCUAAUUAUCAGCUGGGCAUGGUGGCACACACCUGUAAUCCCAGCACUCUGGGAGGCCGACACAUGUGAGUCUCAGGUUUGAGCCCAUCCCGGGCAACUUAGCAAGACAGUGUCUCCAACAAAACGAAACAAAAAAUACCCUACUUCUUUCUUGGGAGUUAUCUUUGGAAAUAUUUGCCAAAGAAAUGAUUGAUAUCUGGAUUUCCUUAUGAAGGGGAAGGAAGUGCCAUGGAACAAGAUUGGCCCAGGGUUAGUGACUGCUGUAGCUGGCUUUGCGGUACCAGAUGCUCUAUUCCUAUGUGUGCUUGAAGCUUUUCAUAAUAAAAAAAAAAAAAAGAAGGAAAAUCAGGCUUUCCUUGCCCUUUUCUUUUCUUUUUUCUUUUUGGUACCAGGGGAUCGAACUCAGGACCUUGCGCUUGUGAGGCAGGCAUAGAAACACUGAGCUAAAUACCCAACCCUCCCUCCCCUUUUAUUUCUAGAUACUGUCCACCCCACUGCUAGCAUCUCUGGCUGCGACCAGCCUGAGGAGCAGGCUUGGGUUAUACCUUCAAGCAGCCCAUCCCAUCUCCAUGGCAACCAACAUCCAGAAGUCUCCAUCCACACUAGGGUCAGGCCAGGCCAGGUUGCCAGUGCUGUGCCAGGAUGCACAGAGCUGCUCCCUUUGGGAUUUUCAUAGGGGACCCCCCAGCUGAGCAGCCUCUCUGUGCCCCCAUCCCCCUCAUUCUUGCCUUCCCCCCUGCAGCCCCUAAGGAAGCAGUGGUCAAUUGGUGGAGAGAAUAGACCCUGAAUCAGAUCCAGGUUCAAAUUCUGACUCCACCACUUAACAGAAGAACUUUAGCCCCCAUGUGCCUCAGUUUCCUUGUCUGUAAAAUGGGUAUAACUGGACCUCAACUAACUCAAUAAAUUGUUAUUAUGGGAGGGAUAGUGGCAAAAAGGACCCAGUCUCCACUUCCUGGAACUAGACUGUUGGUGGUGAAGGGUGAUUUCAGGACAGUUCAAGUGCUGUGAUAAUGUACACGGUGUAGAACUGGAGAAGCAAGGGUGCUUGGUCCUACCCCAACUUUUAGAAAAACUGGCAGUCGCUACAUAGGAGAAACCCUAACUCCCAAUCCUACUUUCACGUGCCAGAAUUGCCAUGCUUUUUGACAACUCAGUGUGUAGCGAUGGAAAAUGCGCAGAAUACGCAGUGCUCAAGAUUCCGUUUCCGGGAGGUCAGGACAGCUCCUCUCAUCUGCUGAGGACGACGCUGGGCUGGGCGCGGAGAGCAGAGGAAGCUUCCACAAGGCCCCGCCUUCUGUGCUCAGGCUCUGCUCGCUGCUUAAGCUUUGAAACAGGAGGACAUCAUAGUGCCAGGAGGUUAAAAUCUCCCCAGGUCCAACUUUACUUUGCAAAUGAAGAAAAGUAGCCCAGAGAGGCCUGAGGCAACACAGUGAAUCACCGCUCCUUGGAAAGAAAGUACGAGGAUGCAGCAGGGAAGCCGGCUCCUACCGCUCCAAUUAAUCCUGUCCCUGAGUAGGGAGCGGAGACAACCACGCCAGCUUCCCUGGGACUGAGGACUUCUGGGAUUGAGGAUUGGGGGCACUACACCAGGACGAUUCGGGGCUACCCUCCCAUGGGAUGGGGGGCUUUAUUUUCUCUCUGCCCCACAGACCAGGGGCGUCAAAGUGGAUGUUUUCCAAGAAACAAGGCUCUGGUGGAGCUGGUGAGCCGUGGGGCUUCAUGCCUGGUCCCCGAGGGACUGCCCACGUGGCGCCUGGGUGGCCUCAGAAGUGGCCCGUGGCCCAGCCUCCCUCCCUUCUGUUCCGCCCCAGCAGACAACUGCUCUUCCAAACCGUCACCCUAAUCACCCUGCUGUAGUUUACAGACCUCCAUGGUUCUCGUGCCCAUCACGUUAAGAAGAACUCUGCAGGCCCAGGAAACCUGAGUGGGCUUCUUCCCCGGCCCUGGCUGUCUCCCUUGUGAAGUCAACCUAAGUCCUAAAAGUUCCAAGCGAGGCCAGGAUAAAGCAAGCUGUACUAACUGCAGCCUCCCUCCCCACAGUCCCUCCUCUCUGAGUGUGUCAGCACAAUUGUCAUCUCGUCUCCCUUGGUCUAAUUAACUCAUUACUAAUAUUCCAUCUCCCCCAGCCCUGGCUAGACUGGUGGCAAAGGUGACCCUGGUGACACGUGAAGGGGGCUCAAUAUCAUAGGACGGUUGCAUAAAUGUCACUGCCAUUGUCACCUCUAGCCAGGGUUCCAUCUGAGAUCACAAACCCUCCACAGCCCUUGGGACCUCCUGCUCCCUUUUCAGACAGGCAGGUCUCUGUGAUGUCCCGGAGAGAGGGGGACUCCAGAGAAAGACUGGCAGGAGACUCCUGGAGCAAUAAGAGUGGCAGCCAGAAUCCAGGUGGGUUUCCCUUAAUAAUAAUAAUAACUAUCAUUAUUAUUAAAUUAAAAUAAAUAUUAAAUUAAAUUUAAAUUAAAUUAAAAAUAAAUACUAUUUUGGUACCGGGGAUCGAACUUAGGACCUUGCGGUUUCGAGGCAGGCGGAGGCACCACUGAGCUAAAUCCCCGGCCCUAUUCCUUAAUUAUUGUACCUGUUCUGUCAGCUCCCUCUUAGCUCUGUUCACAUCCUUAGCCCAGCAAUGGCUUAGGAGGGAAAGAAAAUAAAAAGAAAACAUUAGCCUCAGAGUUUUGAGUACAUAUAGCUCACUAGCUUCCGCCCUGCUGAUAAUUAAUGCUGAAAAUGUUCAUUACUUGUCUUGGUCACAAAGGUAACAAUAAAAACCCGCAGCCUGAUUACUUGGCUGCUAAUUCCUUUCUUACUGUUUUUCUUCCCCUUUCCUUAAAUUAAUUCCAGAGUUCUUCCAGAUUUCUUGUUGCUAAGCUGUAAAGUUCCAGGUUGCACAGGGUGGCUGCUGAUUGGCAGGGAGUUCGCGGGCUGCUCCAAUCAGAAGCAGGUGGCAGAAAGGAGCGUCCACAGCGCAGUUUACCUGGGGUUUUCAGAAUUUUCUGGCUGGUAUCAUGUACCAUAAAGGUCUAACUCUUUGUGUAACUCUCCGGAACCUGUUCUCUUGAUCUGGCUGAAGAGAGACACCAGAGGGCCUGGAAUCCCCCCAGGGAAACAGGGAGUCCCUGUCUCGACAGGAUGCUCAGGACCUGUUCAUGGUGUGCCGUGUGGUGGCGCAAGAGAUGUCGGAGCGCCUCAAGACUGACUGCUCAUGCCCACCUCCCAAGCUUGGUGGGACUAUGUGGAGGAAGCGGAGGAAACUGGACGCCAUUGAACUGGCGUAUUGGGGCGAGGGCCGCAUUCGUAAGGACUCUACUCCUGGGCUCGAGCUAUCCUCCUGCCUCAGCCUCCCAAGCAGCUGGGACUAGAGGCAAGUGCCGAUGUGCCCAGCAAUAAAGGACUUUCAAAUAUGCAGACAGAGGACUAAUCAGGAGUUUCACCUCCAGAAUUUCAAUGAAAACCAACCAUGGUGAACUGUGUUUCUAUCAUGCACCAGAAUCUACAUUCACACCUCUUUGUAUACUGAAACUUCCAUUCAAAAAAAUGGGCGGGACGCACUGCAGGGGGUUUUGCCCGCCUGCUUCUAUCUGCAGGAAGAAGGAAGUCAUGUGACCUAGACCUGGCCAUACUGAUUGGCUUUUGGAUAGGCACAUGACCCAUCUGGGCCAAUCAGAGUUUUCCUUAAAACUUUUGUGCUGAAAAUAUAGCAAAAGACCCCACUAGCUGCAUUUGCUGAGCUGAUGGCCCCUGUGAACUCCUGUAGAAGGUGCCUGAGAAAGAUAUGAAGCCGCAAAGAUAUGGAGCCCCUCUGGCAAUACGUGAGCUCCAUCUACAGCUGGAGGGAAGCUGUACUGACUCCCUGCAAUGUACAGUGAUGGGAACAAUAAAUUUCUGCUUAAACCAGUUUUCCUUGUAUGUGUGUUGCUUCUCACAGAGUGCUAAGAAAUAAGAACACUACUUUCUCUGCAGAAUGCCUGGGCCUGGGAUGAACAAUUUGUAUAGAUUCUCACAUAGGGUCCUCACAAUCCCAUUUGGCAGGUGGAGAAACUGAGGCUCAGCAGAGUAAGGAGAUUUGCCCUGAUAAAACUGGCACUAUGUGCUCAGGGACUCAAACCUGGAGCUAAUUCUUGGAUGUCUGGGUGGCCACUUAAGUGCAACUUGUCCAAAUCUGAAUUCAGGAACCUUUCCCCCAACCUGAUUUCCCUCUGGCAUCCUCCAUCUGUCAGUUCUAGAAGCCAGGUCUCAACCUCAUUCCUUGAGCCACACCUCAGGCUCAAGAAGCCCUCAGAUCAACUUGCUUGAUGGGCCCAGAACCAGUUCAUUUGCCUCCCUGUCUCCUCUCCAUCCCUGCCCAAGCCCCCCUCCCUCAGUCUUCUUGAGCUGCCCCCUCCUGGUUCUCCUACAUCCAUCUUCACCCCUUCUCCCAACCCAACUCCCCUCAGCAUCUAGAGGAACCGUCUUAAAAUACCAAUCAGCUCAUGCUGCCUUACUGGGAGCAGUUGGGUCUCAAGAUUUGAUGACACCCAUUGACCUCCAGGGAUGUGGUGAGAACUCAGUAACUCCUUGGCCCCACUCAGGUUUCAGGCAGAAAGAAUUCAAGCCCAAGGCUUGGGGGUUUAGCUCAGUGG